UAUUUACUCCCUCCGUCCAAAAAUACUUGUCAUCAAAAUGGAUAAAAUGAGAUAUAUCACGAACUAAAAUACAUCUAGAUACAUCCUUUUUAAUCCAUUUUGAUGACAAGUAUUUCCGGACGGAGGGAAUAUAAG
rfam:Triticum aestivum genome assembly, contig: Triticum_aestivum_CS42_TGACv1_scaffold_456580_5DS